UAUUAAGUGCUUUGUUUUAAUUCAGUAACAUACUCGAGACAUUAUAAUUCAGGACGCUUGGCAUUGUUACCUAGGCAAAACCCCCCUGUGGUCUGUAGGUGCAGGGCUUAUCUCCUGAGUAAGCUAACUUUUAUUCUCCUAGAUGUGGCCUUUUAUUUACCAUGAAAAAAGAUGAUGGCUGGACAUUGUCAGCUCUGGAUAGUAGGUGUUUGCAGACUGUGCAUCUCCAUGAAUAUUUGAUGGAACUUCCUAGUUUCACCAGUGAAUCAUCACUAGUCUGCAUCAUGACCUUGAAAUGUCCUUGUGAAGGCCAUUUUGCUGGGGCAUUUGGUUGUUCUGAAAUAGCCUCGUUUGCUGUCUGGAAGUGCGUGUAUUGGUAAAAUACUGGUCUAUUCAGUGUAGCCUAAACACUAAGGUGGGCUGAUACUUGCCAGACUAGCUGCAAGAUGUAUUUCAGAAGUGCAAAAAUCAGUCAGUUCUUAUGACUGCCACAGAUCUGAUAUUUUUAAAUAGCUUAAAAGCAAGGCUGGCUUCGUAAAGGUGAGCAAAAAAGAAAAGUAUGCUGAUUUUUUUUCUGGAAAAAAUAAUAGGUGUUUAGUCUCAUGGCUGGCUGUUGGCAGCAGGGUUAACCUGUGGAUCUCUUGUCCUCAGCUUGCUCAUGAACCCCUUUUGAUGGAAUUAAUAGCAGGUUCAAGUGGGAGGAAGGACAGGGAGCUGUGCUGCACGAAGGAAAAUCCUCACAAGGAUCAGGCAAUCCCAAAUUGUAAGUGUAAGUAAGUGACUUAAGUGUCACUGGAUUUUUGCUGCUUCAAAACCUGUUUUCCCCCGUUCUUCACGUGGGUGUUUGAGGGCAAGAAGGGAGCUCUGCUUGCCUGUCCCUACGUUUGGCAAUCGGAGGGAAGAAGCGAGGGUUACGAUGAGAGAAGAUCCGGCUGGGGAGCAGGAUGGUGCAGGCCAGCUGGACGGAUGCACGCUCAGGUGCCAUGUGAGCUGGAGGGGGGGAAAAAACUAGAAUAAAAAGAAAAGCCCUAGCGCCA
rnacentral:lncRNA from 1 species